UAGGGCAUUAAAAUAAACGUCGAUGUAGUGCUCCUGAGUUCACAUUGAUUUGUCAGGUUUGUGCUCAAGCUGAAUCAUGCCUGAACCAGCGAAGUCCGCGCCUAAGAAGGGCUCCAAGAAGGCCGUCACCAAGACCGCCGGUAAGGGAGGAAAGAAGCGCAAGAGGUCCAGGAAGGAGAGUUAUGCUAUCUACGUCUACAAAGUUCUGAAGCAGGUUCAUCCUGACACCGGCAUCUCUUCCAAGGCGAUGGGAAUCAUGAACUCUUUCGUCAACGACAUCUUCGAGCGCAUCGCCGGUGAGUCGUCUCGUCUCGCUCACUACAACAAGCGCUCCACCAUCACUUCUAGAGAGAUCCAGACCGCCGUGCGUCUGCUGCUGCCCGGAGAGCUGGCCAAACACGCCGUGUCCGAGGGCACCAAGGCAGUGACCAAGUACACCAGCUCCAAGUAGAGAUUCAACCGAGACUAUCAGCGACCCAAAGGCUCUUUUAAGAGCCACCCAUAUUUUCAGUUAAAAGAGACUAUUUGUGUUUCGGUAAUUAUAAGUAGCUUAUGUUUGCCGGCCUUUAUUUUUGGGGUUCGUAUGAGGAUUUUGAAAAUUUGGCUUUUAGUGAAUUAGAUCAAUCUGCAAAAUAUGUUCUGCUACAAGACCCAAACAAGAGCUUAAUUAGACUUGGGUUGAAGAGAGUUGUUACAAAAUCCUGUUUAGGAAAUACUGCAUCCCUAAUGGAAUUUUUACAGAAAAGUUUUCAGUUUUUUCUUCCUUUCCUGAAACCCAUUUUUACUUUUGUGAUUUUACCUCUAAAUUUUGUGGGUGUGUGUUUAAUUGGUUUUCAUUUAUGACUGUUUGUGUUUCCACUCAGAUGCUUUCUUCUGUUUACUAUUUUACUACACAUCAAACAAACAGUGAGUGUACAAGACAUCCCUCUAGACUUCAUACUCUCAUUUCUGUAUUUAUUUAUCCUGAAAUAUUUACCUUAUUGGUUGUGUGGAAUUUAGAUUAGAACAAAAUCACUUUACUACCUGGUUAAAAGCACUGCAACCAGCAACCAGAUCUCUAUCAAUCAGACACAUUACAAGAUCAUCAUGUGUUCAUGUGGCUGCUACAAUUGUAUCUGUAAUUUUUUGAAAUUGUCAGAACAAUCAUAAAUUUAAUUGGUUUGAUGGGAUGUUUUUUUUUUUUUUUUUUUUUCCCUCAACCCACUGUGUUUAUGGUGUUUGUAAAUAUUAACAGUUAAUAAUUAAUAGUUAUAUAAUAUUAAUAAUUAAAGUGCUCUCUCUAAACACUUGAAUUAUGUGUUCAUGACAGUCACACACACCUUGUGGUUAUUAGGGGUUCAAGCACAAAGUGCUGAAACCCUAUUGUAUUUGUAAGGAUUUUUAUUGUUAUUCUUCUGCUGUAAAACUGAUCGUGCAGCCCAAACCGUAAGUGCUAGAGACUUUGUCAGAUGAUAGGUCAGAGAUCGAGGAGAGGUUGACAGAGUAUGACCUCAAUCGGCCAAUAGGUGGCACUACAGCGAUCAAAAGUUGUAAAUCGCUAAUAACUCCUAGACCUUUUGUCCUAGAAUCAAGUGUCUUAUAUCAUUGGAAUCUUUGGCUCAAAAAAAAUGUCCGCCAUUUUAAAUUUUGUCCAAAACCUACUUUUGCGAACUAGUCCUAGGUUUUUCGCCUGAUCGGAACCAAACCAGUGCAGAAAUGUUUUCUGUAGUGUGAAUAUCAAUAAUUAUCAAAAAAAAAAAAAGUUGAAAUUUUGAUUCACGGUUGCUAAGGGGCGCCAAAACGUACGAUGUGGGCGGAGCCACUUUUACUAAAAUGGCUAUAACUCGAGAACGAAAUGAGAUAUUCGCACCAAACUCGGUACACAUAUGUAGGGGCUAAAUUUUUGGUCACAAUAAAAAAAAAUUGAGGCGAUUGGCCACUAGGUGGCGCUAUAACACGAGAAAAAAAAAAAAACAUGACAACAGCUAUAACUAUGCAGCCGUUAGCCCGAUCGACUUGAAAUUUGGCAUGCAGUGUCUUGGUCCAAGGGGGCAUGAUAUUCUAUGAGGACAUUGGUGUAUCUCAAAAAACAUGGCCGCUAUCGGAACACCUAUUAGACAAGGUUAACGGAGGCAGAUCGGAACGAAACUCGGUGUGCAUGAUCAACUCAUGGGCCUAGAGGUCUGUAAGAAUUUUGAAAGAAAUCGGCCACUAGUUGGUGCUAACGAGAUUUUACGCCUCUGUAAUCACGUGGUGUUUCACAGAUCCACACAAUAUGCAUAUCAUUUGAUAGAUCUCCUCAUGCUGAACAACUUUGCCUCAAGAACCAAUGCUGUCAUUUAUAUAAUGGGUGUGGCCAAAUAUACUCAAAAGCCUAUAAAUCAUUAAUGAAAACUCAGAACUUCACAAAAAAAAAAAAAAAAAAAAAGUGAGCACAUGCAACAUGACUCUAAACAAGCAUGCCAACUUUUAUGGAGAUCGGACCAUAGGUGGCACUAUAACUGUUAAAAAAAAAAAACCUUUAAAAAACGUGUUUUUAAUGGUUUUAGAUGAAAAUGUGUAUAACUCUGCGUGUAGUUGAUUUAUUUUCACGGGAGUUAUGUCUUUAGACUCCUGAAUCCUUGCCGAGUCCAACGAUACCA